rnacentral:rRNA from 1 species
UACCGGCGGCUCGAGUGGUGGCCGAUAUUAUUGAGUCUAAAGGGUCCGUAGCCGGCUUUGCAAGUCCUAUGGGAAAUCCAGCGGCUUAACCGUUGGGCUUUCAUGGGAUACUACAUUGCUUGGGACUGGGAGAGGUAGGAGGUACUCAGGGGGUAGGGGUGAAAUCCUGUAAUCCUUUGGGGACCACCGGUGGCGAAGGCGUCCUACCAGAACAGGUCCGACGGUGAGGGACGAAAGCUAGGGGCACGAACCGGAUUAGAUACCCGGGUAGUCCUAGCCGUAAACGAUGCUCGCUAGGUGUCACGGCAGUCGUGAAUUGUCGUGGUGCCGUAGGGAAGCCGUGAAGCGAGCCACUUGGGAAGUACGACCGCAAGGUUGAAACUUAA